rnacentral:rRNA from 1 species
AACGAACGCUGGCGGCGUGGAUAAGACAUGCAAGUCGAACGGGACUAAAUCUGUAGCAAUACAGGUUUAGUUUAGUGGCGAACGGGUGCGUAACACGUGGGCAAUCUGCCGAGAAGUGGGGGAUAGCUCGCCGAAAGGCGAAUUAAUACCGCAUAUGAUCAGCUAAGACAUCUUAGCGACAUCAAAGCCGGGGUAACCUGGCGCUUCUUGAUGAGCCCGCGGCCAUCAGCUAGUUGGCGAGGUAACGGCUCACCAAGGCUAUGACGGGUAGCUGGUCUGAGAGGACGACCAGUCACACUGGAACUGAGACACGGUCCAGACACCUACGGGUGCAGCAGUCGAGAAUUUUUCNCAAUGGGGCAACCCUGAAGGAGCGACGCCGCGUGGAGGAUGAA